rnacentral:rRNA from 1 species
UACAGAGGGGGCAAGCGUUAUUCGGAAUUAUUGGGCGUAAAGGGCGCGUAGGCGGCCUGGCAAGUGGAAGGUGAAAUCCCUCGGCUUAACCGAGGAACUGCCCUCCAAACUGCUUGGCUUGAGUCCGGGAGAGGUGAGUGGAAUUCCCAGUAUAGCGGUGAAAUGCGUAGAUAUUGGGAGGAACACCAGUGGCGAAGGCGACUUCCUGGCCUGUUCUUGACGCUGAGGCGCGAAAGCUAGGGGAGCGAAUGGG